rnacentral:rRNA from 1 species
AUUGAACGCUGGCGGCGUGCCUAACACAUGCAAGUCGAGCGAUUCUCUUCGGAGAAGAGCGGCGGACGGGUGAGUAACGCGUGGGUAACCUGCCCUGUACACACGGAUAACAUACCGAAAGGUAUGCUAAUACGGGAUAAUAUGCUUUAGUCGCAUGGCUAAAGUAUCAAAGCUCCGGCGGUACAGGAUGGACCCGCGUCUGAUUAGCUAGUUGGUAAGGUAACGGCUUACCAAGGCGACGAUCAGUAGCCGACCUGAGAGGGUGAUCGGCCACAUUGGAACUGAGACACGGUCCAAACUCCUACGGGAGGCAGCAGUGGGGAAUAUUGCACAAUGGGCGAAAGCCUGAUGCAGCAACGCCGCGUGAGCGAUGAAGGCCUUCGGGUCGUAAAGCUCUGUCCUCAAGGAAGAUAAUGACGGUACUUGAGGAGGAAGCCCCGGCUAACUACGUGCCAGCAGCCGCAGUAA